UACGUAGGGAGCAAGCGUUGUCCGGAAUCAUUGGGCGUAAAGCGCGCGUAGGUGGCCCCAUAAGUCCGCUGUGAAAGUCAAAGGCUCAACCUUUGAAAGCCGGUGGAUACUGUGGGACUAGAGUACGGAAGAGGCGAGUGGAAUUCCUGGUGUAGCGGUGAAAUGCGCAGAUAUCGGGAGGAACACCAAUUGCGAAGGCAGCUCGCUGGGACGUUACUGACGCUGAGACGCGAAAGCGUGGGGAGCAAACAGG
rnacentral:rRNA from 1 species